CUUACAGUAGACUACUUCUUGUUUCCACACAGUGACAGUACGUUGACUCACUGUACAAGACCUCUCCCCUUCACUUCACUCUACUGCAGGGUGGGAGAUGCAACAAUGGCCUUGAUAACAACAGGAAGUGUGUUGGUGUUAUUUCUCUGGUCUGUGACAGUGGUACUGGGUCAGUAUGGCUGGAGUGUGACUUACACCACUCAGAGUAUCUGUGCCUUGAAGGGGUCAACAGUGGAGCUGACCUGCUCUUACACAUAUCCCAGAGGUACAGUCACAUCAACCUACUGGUUCACUAAAAAGGAGACUGGUGUAGAACCUGAAGAUAUAGGUCAGRACCCAGAGUAUGCAGGUCGUCUGGAGUAUCAUGGGGAUAAGAAGAAAGACUGCACCCUGAAAAUCACAGACCUGAGAGAGAGAGACUCAGCUACGUACAAGUUCAGAUUUAUAACAGAUCAGGAA